GAUAGGAUGAAGCGAUAUGAAGAAGGAGCCGUUGAGAAUGUAUUUCAUACAAAAUUAUAGCAAUCAAAUCACCUAACCAAGGGCGACAAUUCCAGCUACAAGCGAGGGCAUGGAAGCAAUGUGUUACAUGGUAGUGGAUGCUUUAGAGACAGCUUCGGUGGACAUCAUUAAACUCAUAAGGAAGGUGAACACAGAGAAAGGCCUGACUAUGGUGGUACUCACACUCGUAAGCCUCAAUGUUAUUAUUGUAAAACAUUUGCCCAUAUUGAGAAGUUUUGUAGGUUGAAGGAACGUGCUAAAAUUGCUGCAGAACAAAAAGAAAGUGAAAUAGAAAGUUCAUUUUUUGCCUAUUAUGCUAAUGUGUGUGUUGCAGAUGUUUGGCAUAUUGACAUGGCUGCAGUAGUCAUAUGACGGCAAGCUUGGAGGUUUUUUCCACAUUGGAUAAGUCUGUUACAACCAAGGUGAAGAUGGGUGAUGGAGCAAUUUGUGAAGCACUUGGUCGAGGAGAUGUGGUGAUAAACUUUGGGAAACCAAUGUGCAUUAAAGGUGUAUUGUAUGUUCCUGACUUGGAUUCUAAUUUAUUGAGUGUGGGUCAAUUUCUUGGAGAGCGGCAUUCCCUUGUGUUUUUUUAAGCAACACUAAGAAGCAGCUUUUACUUAAAGUUCCCAUGGCUAAGAAUAAUUUGUUUUCUGUCACUUUAAAUGGUGACAACCAUGCACUGAAAGUCUCUUUUGAUGAUGAUACUUGGUUGUGGCAUUAUAGAUACGGACACUUGAAUUUUCGAAGUUAGAACAUGUUAGCUAACUCUAGUUUGGUGCAAGGUCCGCCUCCUUUACAUGCUAAAAACCCCAUAUGUGAAAGUUAUGUUAUUGGAAAGCACCGUUGAGAUGCUUUUUUCGAAAGGUCAGGUAUGGGUAGCCUUAAAACCUAUAGAUUUGGUGCAUGUGGAUGUUUGUGGGCCUGUGCGCACACUGUCCUUGAAUAACAACAAAUAUUUUAUCGUCUUUGUUGAUGAUUUUAGCAGGAUGACAUGGGUUUAUUUUGCCAAACACAAGUCUAAUGCAUAUUAGAUUUUCAAACACUUCAAGGCUUUUACAGAAAAGUGAAGCGAAUAAGCUUUAAAAAUCUUGAGGAUAGAUCAGAGCAGAGAGUUACUUUUCUCUGAAUUUGAUAUUCGAAGACAGUUUACUGCAAGUUUUACACCUCAACAAAACGGUGUAGUAGAGAGGAAAAAUCUCAGUCUUGUGGGGAUGGCAAAAAGUAUGCUUAAAGCAAAAGGUAUUCCUAAAUAUUUCUGGGUGAAAGCAGUUCACACGGCAACCUAUCUUCUCAACCGAAGUCCUACGAUGGCACUGCAUCACCAAACUCCUUAUGAAGCAUGGUAUGGUUGCAAGCCUACUGUAACUCAUUUUAAGGUUUUUUGUUGUAUUUCUUAUGCUUAUAUUCCCUCUGAAAAAGGGGGUCAAACUUGAUAAUAAUGGUCUUAAGUGCAUUUUUGUGGGCUAUAGCACUAAGACUAAAGGCUAUCGGUUGUAUGAUCCCCCAACCAAGAAGUUGCUGAUUAGUCGUGAUGAUUUUUUGAUGAAAAUAACGCUUGGAGUUGGCAUGAGCAAUAGGUGCAACAGCUUUCAACAAUAGAUCUUGAGGACUAUGAAUUUAUGGAUGCUCCAAAUGAUGGGAAUAGUGAAGAUUCUGAUAGGGGUGUAACACCUUCAACUAGCUCAACAACGGGUUCAAGCAACCUAAGUACUCCAAGGAACUCGAGCAACCCAAACAAUCCGAGUAACCACUCAAGUCCUUCCAACUCAAGCUCGUCUUCUUCAGAAUCAGAAACACCUCCAAGGAGUGAGGGUCUUUAAGAGAAAUCUACCAAAGAACUGAGAGAUGUUGGUUGGCAUGUGUUCAAGAACCAAAUGGAUUUGAGGAUGCUGUUCAACAUAAAGAAUGGUGCAUUGCUAUGGAUGAAGAAAUGCAUGCCUUGGAAAGAAAUAAAACUUGGGACAAUGUAGACCUACUUGAGGGCAAGGAAGUUGUGGGACUCAAAUGGAUAUACAAGAUUAAGUUCAAUAAUGAUGGUUCAAUUCAAAAAUACAAAGCUCGUUUGGUUUCUCAUGGCUUUAUGGAAAGGGAAGGUAUCGAUUUUGAAGAGACUUUUGCCUCAGUGGCAAGGUUUGAUAUAUUCGGGCUGUUUUAGUAGUAGCUGCUCAACACAAAUGGAAUAUUUUUUCAAUUUGAUGUAAAAUAAGCUUUUCUUAAUGGUGUUUUGGAUGAAGAAGUUUAUGUAUUGCAACUUAUUGGUUAUGCUAUUGCAGGACAAAAAAGAAGGCGUGCUGGUUGAAGAAAGCAUUGUAUGACCUCAAGUAAGCACAAAGGGCCUGGUUUGACAAGACUAAUGGGCAUUUUCUGAAGCAUCAGUUUAAGAGAAGUGAAAGUGAACCAUCUUUGUAUGUCAAGACAAAGGUUGACAUACAAAGGGAGCUGAUGAGGUACUUGUUGUAUGUCUUUAUGUCGAUGACUUGAUUUAUACUGGUAAUAGUGUUUGCUUUGAUGGAUGAAUUCAGGAGUAACAUGGUUAAUGAGUUUGAAAUGACUGAUUUGGGGUUGAUGAAUUAUUCUUUGGGUUUGGAACUGAAGCAAAUUGAUAUAGGAAUUUUUGUGUCCCAAGAAAAAUAUGUUAAAGAUCUUCUUGCUAUGUUCAAGAUGCAAGAUUGUAAUUCAGUGAAAACUCCGAUGAACACCAAUAAAAAACUAUGCUUGAAUGAUGGAGAAGAGAAAGUUGAAGCGGGUCUUUCUGGUAGUUUGAUUGGAAGCCUACUAUAUCUUGCUAAUAGUAGGCCUGACAUUUUGUAAGUUACAAGUCAUUUGUCAAGAUUUAUGCAAAAUCCAAGCAAGUUGCAUUAUAGGGUAGUUAAAAAGGUGCUGUGAUAUUUGAGAUGGACUAUUUCUUAUGGUUUUGUGUAUUCAAAAACUAACAAUUUUAAGCUUUGUUGGUAUUCUGACAGUGAUUGGGCAGGUUCUUUUGAUGAUCGAAAGAGCACUGUUAGUUCUGUUUUCAAUCUUGGAUUAGCUGCAAUCUCUUGGAGCUCAAAGAAGUAAUCAUCUGCUAUAUUGUCUUCAUGUGAAUCAGAAUACAUGGCAAUUACUUCAACAACAUGUUAAGCUGUUUGGCUUCAAAGAAUUUUGGCGGAUAUAAAGCAAAAGCAAGCAGAGGCAACAACAAUCUAUUGUGAUAACCAAUCCACAAUUGCUAUGACGAAAAAUCCAAUGUACCAUAGUGGCAUUAAGUAUAUUGAUACCCGACAUCACUUUAUAAGAGAUUUGCUCACAAACAGGAGCAUCAAGAUAUCUUAUUGCAAUACAAAUGAGCAGCUUGCAGACUUGUUUACAAAACCACUUCAUUUAAUGAAGUUUGAGACGUUCAAAGAUCAAUUGGGUGUCGCAAAUUUUCCGAAGUAAGGGAGAGUGUUAAAGCUACUGUUGCAGAAAUUCCUUAUUUGCAGUAUUUGAUUGAGUCAAUAAGUUGUUUAAGUCAAUAAAUUAGUUCUAAAAAUCAAGUCUUUUCUAUUAGUAAUGGGUCCUUAUUUUUUUCUUAUAGUUUGGUUGUUUAUUGGAAUUCUAUUUUUUCUAACCCUGUAUUAAAAGUCUUUCCUCUCUUCAAUAAAUGUAUCCAGUGUUUGCUCAUA
rnacentral:lncRNA from 1 species